rnacentral:rRNA from 1 species
GACGAACGCUGGCGGCGUGCCUAAUACAUGCAAGUAGGACGCACAGUUUAUACCGUAGCUUGCUACACCAUAGACUGUGAGUUGCGAACGGGUGAGUAACGCGUAGGUAACCUGCCUAUUAGAGGGGGAUAACUAUUGGAAACGAUAGCUAAUACCGCAUAACAGUAUGUAACACAUGUUAGAUGCUUGAAAGAUGCAAUUGCAUCGCUAGUAGAUGGACCUGCGUUGUAUUAGCUAGUAGGUAGGGUAAUGGCCUACCUAGGCGACGAUACAUAGCCGACCUGAGAGGGUGAUCGGCCACACUGGGACUGAGACACGGCCCAGACUCCUACGGGAGGCAGCAGUAGGGAAUCUUCGGCAAUGGGGGGAACCCUGACCGAGCAACGCCGCGUGAGUGAAGAAGGUUUUCGGAUCGUAAAGCUCUGUUGUUAAGGAAGAGCGAGUGUGAGAAUGGAAAGUUCAUACUGUGACCGGUACUUAAACCAGAAAAGGGAC